CUCCUCCAGCAACAGCAGCGAGCUGCGCUGCCGUGUGUGUGUGUGUGUGUGUGUGUGUGUGUGUGUUUGUAAGGCAGCAGCGAGGCCCAGCCCGCCCGCCUGCCUGUCAGCGGAGCUGGAGUUUGCACGGAGGAGAGGGGAGGAGGGGAGGGAGGGCGCGGGGAGGGGGAACGUCUUGUUUGUGGCUUGUCAGCAAUUGCUCGAGACAAGCUUCCAUGUGUGAAAGCGACUUGGCAUGAAUGCCUGGGCCGUACCAAGCGCCGCGGCGCCCGCGGGGGGAGGCCGCGGAGGAGCCGAGCGGCCCCGCGCAGACAAUAGGCCCCGAAAGGGCUCCCCCUGACUCGCUUUGAUGUUGUCCUAGCGCCCGGCUCGCGGGCGGCCGGGGCUCGCCGGGGCAGGGGCCCUGUUUUUGUUCCCGUCCCCGCCGCCCCCGCCGCGCUCCGCCAUGGCGCCCCGGGCCACCGCCGCCUGAAGCAGGUGAUCUUUGCUUGUGAGAGCAGUGGUUCCCAGCUCAUGGCCUCCACAAUGAGUACUGCUGUGUCGUGACACCAGGGGUCUCGUCACAUCUCCACCUUUAGUGAGGACUCCCUGGUGUCACUGAGGUCCACUGACUUUUACUG